GAUGAACGCUAGCGGCAGGCUUAAUACAUGCAAGUCAAGGGGGUAGCAAUACAACCGGCGCACGGGUGAGUAACGCGUACACAACAUACCAUAUACUGGGGUAUAGCUUUGGGAAACUGAAGGUAAUCCCCCAUAACAUUGCGAGAGGGCAUCUGAUUGCAAUUAAAGUUUCGGCGGUAUAUGAUUGGUGUGCGUUUGAUUAGCUAGUUGGUAGGGUAACGGCCUACCAAGGCGACGAUCAAUAGCUGGCGUGAGAGCGCGACCAGCCACACUGGAACUGAGACACGGUCCAGACUCCUACGGGAGGCAGCAGUAGGGAAUAUUGGACAAUGGAGGAAACUCUGAUCCAGCCAUGCCGCGUGAUAGAUGAAGGCCCUCUGGGUUGUAAAUAUCUUUUAUCUGGGAAGAAACAAUCUUAUUCUUAAGAUCUUGACGGUACCAGAGGAAUAAGCACCGGCUAACUCCGUGCCAGCAGCCGCGGUAAAACGU
rnacentral:rRNA from 1 species